AGAGUUUGAUCCUGGCUCAGAGCGAACGUUAGCGGCGGGCCUAACACAUGCAAGUCGAACGAGAACGCUCCUUCGGGAGUUAUUAAAGUGGCGCACGGGUGAGGAACGCGUAGGUAAUCUACCCUCCGGCGGGGGACAACAUUCCGAAAGGAAUGCUAAUACCGCGUAAGACCACGCCCACUGCGGUGGAAGUGGUUAAAGACGGCCUCUUCUUGAAAGCUGUCACCAGAGGAUGAGCCUGCGUCCCAUCAGCUUGUUGGUGAGGUAAUGGCUUACCAAGGCGAAGACGGGUAGCUGGUCUGAGAGGAUGAUCAGCCACACUGGCACUGGAACACGGGCCAGACUCCUACGGGAGGCAGCAGUGAGGAAUAUUGGGCAAUGGGCGCAAGCCUGACCCAGCCACGCCGCGUGUGUGAUGAAGGCCUUCGGGUCGUAAAGCACUGUGGGGAGAGACGAACAAUUUCCGUCCUAAUACGACGGAGACCUGACGGUACCUCCUUAGCAAGCACCGGCUAACUCUGUGCCAGCAGCCGCGGUAAUACAGAGGGUGCAAACGUUGCUCGGAUUUACUGGGCGUAAAGCGCGUGUAGGCGGACUCGCAAGUCGGUUGUGAAAUCCCUGGGCUUAACCUAGGAACUGCAUCCGAAACUGCGUGUCUUGAGUAAUGGAGAGGGUGGCGGAAUUCCCGGUGUAGAGGUG
rnacentral:rRNA from 1 species